UGUUGUGAAAUGUUGGGUUAAGUCCCGCAACGAGCGCAACCCUUAUCCUUUGUUGCCAGCGGUCCGGCCGGGAACUCAAAGGAGACUGCCAGUGAUAAACUGGAGGAAGGUGGGGAUGACGUCAAGUCAUCAUGGCCCUUACGACCAGGGCUACACACGUGCUACAAUGGCGCAUACAAAGAGAAGCGACCUCGCGAGAGCAAGCGGACCUCAUAAAGUGCGUCGUAGUCCGGAUUGGAGUCUGCAACUCGACUCCAUGAAGUCGGAAUCGCUAGUAAUCGUGGAUCAGAAUGCCACGGUGAAUACGUUCCCGGGCCUUGUACACACCGCCCGUCACACCAUGGGAGUGGGUUGCAAAAGAAGUAGGUAGCUUAACCUUCGGGAGGGCGCUUACCACUUUGUGAUUCAUGACUGGGGUGAAGUCGUAACAAGGUAACCGUAGGGGAACCUGCGGUUGGAUCACCUCCUUACCUUAAAGAAGC
rnacentral:rRNA from 1 species